AAGGUUAUAUAGGUUCCUAUAGCCUGAGUAUGAAUGGACUAUCCAUCAGUGCCAAAAGGCAAGUAGUCGCCUCAUUUUAGCUUUAUAGGUCCAACAACACUUUGCCUAAGAGGAACCUAUAUAAGGUAUCACAUAUCCAAAAUUUUAAAGUUAAAACACUCAAUGAUAAUUAGUUUAUAUCAUAUACUAAUCAUUAGCAAAUACAACUUUUGCAUUCUGCUACUGCUUCACAUUUGCACGACAACCUUGCAAUUAAUUUCAUCAUUGUUGUAAUGAUAUUAGAUACCC
rnacentral:lncRNA from 1 species